UUCCCUCAAAAGGUUCCCAACUGAUGAGCACCGCUUCUUCUUCACUUUAUCUCAGACAAGCAGUCCACAGACUCCAGAGGACAGGAAUCAGCUCUGUUUUGCUUCCUGCUACACUCUAAAUGGUCAGCACUGUGCCUGGUACACAGCAGCCUGGCCACCAGUUUGAACUGGAUUUCCGGAGUCCUCACCAUUAUCUCUUCUGGGGAGGUGAGAUCCACUGUGAUCCUAGGCCUGAGGAAUUUCCUGAGGAACAUUUAUGAUCACCUCAACAGAAGAAAGGUGUUCAAGUUCAGACACUGGGUGUGCUUGGUCUGAAACACAUAUUAGGACAGAACUUAUCCUCUCAGCAAUCCAGCUCAACAGACAUUCUCGAAGGCAGAACUGGUGGAGGACCAGGAGAGGAAGGGGAACUCAGCCUUGGAAGGUCACCUGGGGCAAGAAGCUCUACUAUCCUUGCCAGCAGGAACUAGGGUUUCUCUGGCAAGGAUAAAUUGGAGAGACCACCAAAUCCCACAGAGUGAACACCAAAAGGAAAAAGAAUGCAAGCUGGUCCUUGUGGUCUCAUUAGAAUUACAAACUCAGGUCACUCUGGAGUAAGAUAAAUGCCAGCCAAGGCAACAUUUCUGAUUCUUCAGGCCUGCUCAAGGUAAUUAUCCCAGAGCUAAAUGUCAAGUCUAGUUUCAUGUGUGCAAAAGAAAGAAAAUGUCAUGUUUGGUGUAAGCAACAAUAUUAUUUUAAUCAAAUCAGAAGCUCAUUAUUAGCAGAAGAUAAGCCCUGGUGUGACCCCUACAGUAAGCUGUAUCUACCUGGCUUUCAUUCCACUUUGUCUCAAACUAAGAUUCUUCACUGAUUGCCCUCAGACAUCAAGUAGGAAAGACUUAACAGUGUCAUAUCGAAGGAGCCUCAUACCCUAAAUCCACUCCACUCUUGAUUGACUGCAGUGCACAGCAAGAAUCUGGAAUCAGACUGCCUGGGUCUCCUCCACAGCCCAACUCUGUAACCUGGGGCAAGAGCCUUAACCUCCCAGUAUGUAGUUGAUAAUAACAGUACUUCUCUCCUGAGAUGGUUAUGAACAUU